UACGUAGGGUGCGAGCGUUAAUCGGAAUUACUGGGCGUAAAGCGUGCGCAGGCGGUUUUGUAAGACAGGUGUGAAAUACCCGGGCUUAACCUGGGAACUGCGCUUGUGACUGCAAGACUCGAGUACGGCAGAGGGGGGUGGAAUUCCACGUGUAGCAGUGAAAUGCGUAGAGAUGUGGAGGAACACCGAUGGCGAAGGCAGCCCCCUGGGUCGAUACUGACGCUCAUGCACGAAAGCGUGGGGAGCAAACAGG
rnacentral:rRNA from 1 species